rnacentral:rRNA from 1 species
CGGCGGACGGGUGAGUAACACGUGGAUAACCUACCUAUAAGACUGGGAUAACUUCGGGAAACCGGAGCUAAUACCGGAUAAUAUAUUGAACCGCAUGGUUCAAUAGUGAAAGACGGUUCUGCUGUCACUUAUAGAUGGAUCCGCGCCGCAUUAGCUAGUUGGUAAGGUAACGGCUUACCAAGGCAACGAUGCGUAGCCGACCUGAGAGGGUGAUCGGCCGCACUGGAACUGAGACACGGUCCAG